AUUGAACGCUGGCGGCAUGCCUUACACAUGCAAGUCGAACGGUAACGGGUCCUUCGGGAUGCCGACGAGUGGCGAACGGGUGAGUAAUAUAUCGGAACGUGCCCAGUAGUGGGGGAUAACUGCUCGAAAGAGCAGCUAAUACCGCAUACGACCUGAGGGGGAAAGGGGGGGAUCGCAAGACCUCUCGCUAUUGGAGCGGCCGAUAUCAGAUUAGCUAGUUGGUGGGGUAAAGGCCUACCAAGGCAACGAUCUGUAGUUGGUCUGAGAGGACGACCAGACACACUGGGACUGGGACACGGCCCAGACUGCUACGGGAGGCAGCAGUGGGGAAUUUUGGACAAUGGGCGCAAGCCUGAUCCAGCAAUGCCGCGUGCAGGAAGAAGGCCUUCGGGUUGUAAACUGCUUUUGUCAGGGAAGAAAUCUUCUGGGCUAAUACCCCGGGAGGAUGACGGUACCUGAAGAAUAAGCACCGGCUAACUACGUGCCAGCCGCCGCGGUAA
rnacentral:rRNA from 1 species